rnacentral:rRNA from 1 species
GGAAGAGAUAAGUGCUGAAAGCAUCUAAGCACGAAACUUGCCCCGAGAUGAGUUCUCCCUGACCCUUUAAGGGUCCUGAAGGAACGUUGAAGACGACGACGUUGAUAGGCCGGGUGUGUAAGCGCAGCGAUGCGUUGAGCUAACCGGUACUAAUGAACCGUGAGGCUUAACCUUACAACGCCGAAGGUGUUU